rnacentral:rRNA from 1 species
AUUGAACGCUGGCGGCAGGCCUAACACAUGCAAGUCGAGCGGAUGAAGGGAGCUUGCUCCUGGAUUCAGCGGCGGACGGGGGAGUAAUGCCUAGGAAUCUGCCUGGUAGUGGGGGAUAACGUCCGGAAACGGGCGCUAAUACCGCAUACGUCCUGAGGGAGAAAGUGGGGGAUCUUCGGACCUCACGCUAUCAGAUGAGCCUAGGUCGGAUUAGCUAGUUGGUGGGGUAAGGGCCUACCAAGGCGACGAUCCGUAACUGGUCUGAGAGGAUGAUCAGUCACACUGGAACUGGGACACGGUCCAGACUCCUACGGGAGGCCGCAGUGGGGAAUAUUGGACAGUGGGCGAAAGCCUGAUCCAGCCAUGCCGCGUGUGUGAAGAAGGUCUUCGGAUUGUAAAGCACUUUAAGUUGGGAGGAAGGGCAGUAAGUUAAUACCUUGCUGUUUUGACGUUACCAACAGAAUAAGCACCGGCUAACUUCGUG